AACAGUAAAAUUGAAUUUUUUUGGUUUCAGAUAUUUGUCGUUAGUUGGCUUGGAUUCAAAUUUUAUUAAGUGGAAUUUUAAAAUUUAUUGAAAGCUUUUUUAUACUAUAAUUCUGGAAAAUUUAGGUUUUAAACUAGGAUUAGAUACCCUACUAUUUUAAACGUUAAUUAAGGAGGCCUUGUUAGUACUAGCUAUGUUCUUGAAAAUAAAAGAUUUUGGCGGUAUUUUAGUCUAUUCAGAGGAACCUGUCCUGUAAUCGAUGGUCCACGAUAAUCAAAACUUUUUCUUUUAGUUUACAUAUCGUCGUAGUUUGAGUAUUUUUUUAGAAUUUUAAUAUUCAUUAUUUUUAUAAAAAAAGAAAUCAGAUCAAGGUGUAGCUUACGAGGAAGGAAGAGAUGGGUUACAUUAAAAUUAUUUCGGGAUUAGUUUUUUAAGUGAACUAUGAAUUCGGAUUUGAUAGUAAUUUUAAUUAUUUUGUUAAAAUGACUUUAGCUCUAAGAUAUGCACAUAUCGCCCGUCGCUUUCACUUUAAGGUGAAAUAAGUCGUAACAAAGUAGGCCUACUGGAAAGUGGGCCUAGAAAGGCAAGUUAGAGCUUGAUUAGAAAGCAUUUUAGUUACAUUAAAGAGUUAAUUGUGAGAUUCAAUUUGGCUUGAUUAGAAAAAGUUACUAAGUUUGUUUUUGUUUAUUGUUUUGUGAUAAAAAUGUUAAAAUUUAUUAUUUCUUGAGAACAAUUUUUUUUUGUUAUAGUUUAUUAAUACUGUGAAGGAAUUUUUGAAAAAUAAAAAAGAUGACUUUAUUUGUU
rnacentral:rRNA from 1 species